AAGAAAGUGACUGCCGCCCCGCACAGGGGCGAAGCCAAUAGACCAAGAACAAAGCAAGUUUCACAGAAGCCGAAGCGCAUCAAACGGCGCAAACCACAA
rnacentral:sRNA from 1 species